rnacentral:lncRNA from 1 species
UCAUCAUCAUCAUCUUCAGAGGAUUGACUUCCAUUUUCUUCAAUUACAGUGGACUUUAGAACAAUGGUUUUCUUUUUUUGACUCUCAUCUUCAUUGUGCUACCCCAUUGCCAACUCGUGUAUCAUUAAGGAUCCGAUCAGCUCCUCUAGUAGUAAUUUGUUUAGAUCUUUCGCCUCUUGAAUGGCUGUGCCUUUUGCUUCCCACAUCCUAGGUAAAGAUCUGAG